rnacentral:rRNA from 1 species
UACGAAGGGGGCUAGCGUUGCUCGGAAUCACUGGGCGUAAAGCGCACGUAGGCGGAUUGUUAAGUCAGGGGUGAAAUCCUGGAGCUCAACUCCAGAACUGCCUUUGAUACUGGCGAUCUUGAGUUCGGGAGAGGUGAGUGGAACUGCGAGUGUAGAGGUGAAAUUCGUAGGUAUUCGCAAGAACACCAGUGGCGAAGGCGGCUCACUGGCCCGAUACUGACGCUGACGGUGCGAAAGCGUGGGGAGCAAACAGGG